UAAAACGAAUUGGAUAGUUGAAAAUUUAAUUUUUCUCAUAGUAUAUUUAGCAAAUACAUAUAUAAAUAUAAAUGAAUCUAAAAAAAAACUAUAGUAAAUGAAAUUUAGACAACCAUAAAAAAAGUCAUCUACGAUAAAAGAUAAUAAUUAUUUCUAUCUAAAUUGGAUAUUCUCAAAAUCACUCUACAGAAAGAAUUUAUUUAAGAAAUAUUGAUACUUGAAAUUAUUUAUACUUUAAUUUUAGAGGAUUGCCAUGUUUGCGACAAAACAAAUAAAACAAUGAAAUACAAUGAUGUGAAAUGUACUAAACCAAUGUGUCGAAAUUGUCAUACUGCCGUAAAACAUAAUUCUAAUCUAUGCACCAAAUGUACGAAUAAAGAAAAUAAAGAGGAACUGGAGAAUACGGAUAAUCUUACGCGUCAUAAUGUUUGAAAUCCUUACACUACUAAUCCUCAUAAUGUAAAAUAAUAAGUAUUACUACUGGUGGAAUAUAAAACAAUUACUAAAACAAAAA